GCAUUCUAUUCGUUUAAGAUAAGCCGGCAAUAAAAAAGUGGUAAAACUAUCCACGAUUGUGGGCUUUUUGUUGUGCUUAUUUUUACGAAUCAGGGCAUGGAUACAGGUUAGGUAUGGCUUUUUCCCGCUAUCCCUUUCUCUUUGUUUGCCUUUUCUCGUUGAUAUGCAGAUCCAAAGCCCGCAUUGCGGACUUGGGCCUGUAUUUUUUAU
rnacentral:ncRNA from 1 species